rnacentral:lncRNA from 1 species
GUGAUGAAAAAUCAGUUAUAUUGGAAGCUUGAACCGCGUCGAGAUUGACAAUCGGGUUAUAUGGCGUUUUGGGAUAAACGACCGGUUAAAUAUUACUCAAUGGUUUACGGUUAUUGAAAACCGGUUAUCAGUUCUAACUACACUUGCCUAAUAUAAAAAGCAAGGCUCGUGAGUUGUAUUAGUUAUCAGAGAAAGAUAGACUGUACGAGGGUUACAAACUUUAGGUCACGGCCGUUGUGAUCUUGGAAGAGUUUUAGUAAUUUUUCUUGCCAGGCCCCAGAGACGUAGCCACAUCGGUGAACUCUGGGUAAUCAAUUAAUCUUUGUGUAUGAUCCUCUUCUUAUUUUGUUUCUCUUUCGUUCCUUGCGUAUACGUGUUCCUAAGUGUUUUUCCGUGAGAGUUUUGUGUCGUGAAUUGUGCGACGUCGGUUCGAGGUUGAACAGUUUUCAUGGUUCAUA